UACGAAGGGGGCUAGCGUUGCUCGGAAUCACUGGGCGUAAAGCGCACGUAGGCGGAUCUUUAAGUCAGGGGUGAAAUCCCGAGGCUCAACCUCGGAACUGCCUUUGAUACUGGGGAUCUCGAGUCCGGGAGAGGUGAGUGGAACUGCGAGUGUAGAGGUGAAAUUCGUAGAUAUUCGCAAGAACACCAGUGGCGAAGGCGGCUCACUGGCCCGGAACUGACGCUGAGGUGCGAAAGCGUGGGAGCAAACAGG
rnacentral:rRNA from 1 species